GCGGCGCGGGAAUCGAUUUCCGGUUGAUCCUGCCGGAGAUACCGCUAUCAGGAUUCGAUUUAGACAUGCGAGGUGAAUGCGGGCUUGUCCUGCAUACCGAACGGCUCAGUAACACGUAGUUAAUCUGCCCUCAGGUCGGGAAUAACCCCGGGAAACUGGGAUUAAUGCCCGAUAGGUUUUUGGUACUGGAAGGUCCUUAAAUCUAAAGUUCCGGCGCCUGAGGAUGAGACUGCGGUGGAUUAGGCUGUUGUUGGUGUAAUGGACCAACAAACCUAUAAUCCAUACGGGCGUUGAGAGACGUAGCCCGGAGAUGUGUUCUGAGACACGAAUACAGGCCCUACGGGGCGCAGCAGUUACGAAACCUUUACAAUGCCUUCACGGGCGAUAGGGGAAUCCUGAGUGCUCUAGCAAUGCUAGGGCUUUUAUCUACUCCAAAAGGGUAGAUGAAUAAGCAGUGGGCAAGACGGGUGCCAGCCGCCACGGUAAUACCCGCACUGCAAGUGGUGAUCGCGUUUAUUGGGUCUAAAGCGUUCGUAGCCGGUUUGGUAAAUUUUUGGUGAAAUCCUGUGUAAAACAUAGGGCGUGCCAAAAACACUACCAGACUAGGGACCGGGAAAAGCUGAAGGUACUUUAGGGGUAGGGGCUAA
rnacentral:rRNA from 1 species